rnacentral:rRNA from 1 species
GAUGAACGCUAGCGGCAGGCCUAACACAUGCAAGUCGAGGGGUAACAUAGAAAAGCUUGCUUUUCUGAUGACGACCGGCGCACGGGUGCGUAACGCGUAUACAACCUACCUUUUAGCGGGGAAUAGCCCAGGGAAACUUGGAUUAAUGCCCCAUAGUAUAUAGACUUCUCCUGAAGUUUAUAUUAAACAUUUAUGGCUAUUAGAUGGGUAUGCGUCCUAUUAGUUAGUUGGUAAGGUAACGGCUUACCAAGGCAGCGAUAGGUAGGGGUCCUGAGAGGGAGAUCCCCACACUGGUACUGAGACACGGACCAGACUCCUACGGGAGGCAGCAGUGAGGAAUAUUGGACAAUGGGCGAGAGCCUGAUCCAGCCAUGCCGCGUGCAGGAAGACUGCCCUAUGGGUUGUAAACUGCUUUUUACAGAGGAAGAACCACCCCCACGUGUGGGGGUUUGACGGUACUCUGCGAAUAAGGAUCGGCUAACUCCGUG